GCGUGCAGGACGAAGGCCUUCGGGUUGUAAACUGCUUUUGUACAGAACGAAAAAGCCUCUUCUAAUACAGGGGGUGCAUGACGGUACUGUAAGAAUAAGCACCGGCUAACUACGUGCCAGCAGCCGCGGUAAUACGUAGGGUGCAAGCGUUAAUCGGAAUUACUGGGCGUAAAGCGUGCGCAGGCGGUUUUGUAAGACAGAGGUGAAAUCCCCGGGCUCAACCUGGGAACUGCCUUUGUGACUGCAAGGCUGGAGUGCGGCAGAGGGGGAUGGAAUUCCGCGUGUAGCAGUGAAAUGCGU
rnacentral:rRNA from 1 species